GACGAGGGAUCCUAGCGUUGUUCGGAAUCAUUGGGCGUAAGGAGGGCGUAGGUGGCUUGGUAAGUCAGGUGUGAAAGCCCAGGGCUCAACCCUGGAAGUGCAUUUGAUACUGCUGAGCUUGAGUGUUGGAGAGGUUACUGGAAUACCUGGUGUAGUGGUGAAAUGCGUAGAUAUCAGGUGGAACACCGGAGGCGAAGGCGGGUAACUGGCCAAACACUGACACUGAGGCGCGAAAGUGUGGGGAUCAAACAGG
rnacentral:rRNA from 1 species